rnacentral:rRNA from 1 species
AGAGUUUGAUCCUGGCUCAGGACCAACGCUGGCGGCGUGCCUAAUGCAUGCGAGUCGAACGGGUUGCUUUCGGGCAAUCACGUGGCGGACGGGUGCGUAACACGUGGGCAAUCUGCCCCGAGGUGGGGGAUAGCCAUCGGAAACGGUGGGUAAUUCCGCAUGAGCUCGCUUUUCUGUGGGGAGAGUGAGGAAAGCCGAAAGGCGCCUUGGGAGGAGCCUGCGGCCGAUUAGCUAGUUGGUGGGGUAACGGCCUACCAAGGCGAUGAUCGGUAGCUGGUCUGAGAGGACGGCCAGCCACACGGGGACUGAGAGACGGCCCCGACUCCUACGGGAGGCAGCAGCAAGGAAUCUUCCGCAAUGGGCGAAAGCCUGACGGAGCAACGCCGCGUGGGGGAAGACGCUUUUCGGAGUGUAAACCCCUUUUCUUGGGGACGAAAGACUGACGGUACCCGAGGAAGAAGGACCGGCUAACUACGUGCCAGCAACCGCGGUAAUACGUAGGGUCCGAGCGUUGUCCGGAGUUACUGGGCGUAAAGCGCGCGCAGGCGGCUUCAUAAGACUGGCGUGAAAGCCUCCGGCUCAACCGGAGAGGGUCGUCGGUGACUGUGGAGCUUGAGAGUGGCAGGGGCUGGUGGAAUGCCUGGUGUAGUGGUGAAAUGCGUAGAGAUCAGGCGGAACACCCGUGGCGAAGGCGGCCAGCUGGGCCAAAUCUGACGCUGAGGCGCGAAGGCGUGGGGAGCGAACGGGAUUAGAUACCCCGGUAGUCCACGCAGUAAACGAUGCAGACUAGGCGUGGGGGGACUUGACCCCUUCCGUGCCGGAGCCAACGCGGUAAGUCUGCCGCCUGGGGAGUACGGCCGCAAGGCUAAAACUCAAAGGAAUUGACGGGGGCCCGCACAAGCGGCGGAGCGUGCGGUUUAAUUCGACAACGCGCAGAACCUUACCAAGGCUUGACAUGCGACUGCAGGCCCCGGAAACGGGGCGUCCCUUGAGGGUGUCGCACAGGUGCUGCAUGGCUGUCGUCAGCUCGUGCCGUGAGGUGUUGGGUUAAGUCCCGCAACGAGCGCAACCCCCGCUGCCAGUUGAAUGAUCUGGCGGGACUGCCGGUCGCAAACCGGAGGAAGGUGGGGAUGACGUCAAGUCAGCAUGGCCCUUACGUCUUGGGCUACACGCACGCUACAAUGGCCGGGACAGAGGGUUGCCAAGCCGUGAGGCGGAGCCAAUCCCCCAAACCCGGUCUCAGUUCAGAUCGUGGGCUGCAACUCGCCCACGUGAAGUCGGAGUCGCUAGUAACCGCAGGUCAGCAGUACUGCGGUGAAUAUGUUCCCGGGCCUUGUACACACCGCCCGUCACGUCAUGAAAGCCGGCAAUGCCUGAAGCCGGUGGGCCAACCUUCGGGAGGCAGCCGUCGAGGGCAGGGUUGGUGAUUGGGACGAAGUCGUAACAAGGUA